rnacentral:pre_miRNA from 1 species
UUUCUAUUCCUCGCUCCAACAAAAGAUGUCUCAAGUUUGUUAAAAUUUGGAUGUAUUUAAACAUGACUUAGUGUAUAAAUGCAUUCAAAUUUGGUCAAAGUUGAGAUAUUUUAUGUUGGACGGAAGGAGCAGUAU